rnacentral:rRNA from 1 species
UUCCGGUUGAUCCUGCCGGACCCUACUGCUAUCGGGGUGGGACUAAGACAUGCGAGUUGAGCGUCUCUAAGCCAUGGUAGAGACGCGGCGUACGGCUCAGUAACACGUGGCUAACCUACCCUUAGGACGGGGACAACCCCGGGAAACUGGGGCUAAUACCCGAUAGGCGAGGAGGCCUGGAAUGGUUCUUAGUCGAAAAGGCGUUGAAACCAUGCUUUUCGACGUUGCCUAAGGAUGGGGCCGCGCCCGAUCAGGUUGUUGGUGGGGUAACGGCUCACCAAGCCUAUAACCGGUACGGGCCGUGAGAGCGGGAGCCCGGAGAUGGGCACUGAGACAAGGGCCCAGGCCCUACGGGGCGCAGCAGUCGCGAAAACUCCGCAAUGCGCGAAAGCGUGACGGGGCUACCCCGAGUGCCGUCCGCUGAGGAUGGCUUUUCCCCGGUGUAAUGAGCCGGGGGAAUAAGGAGAGGGCAAGUCUGGUGUCAGCCGCCGCGGUAAUACCAGCUCUCCGAGUGGUAGGGAUGAUUAUUGGGCUUAAAGCGUCCGUAGCCGGCUUAGCAAGUCUCCUGUUAAAUUCAGCGACCUAAUCGUUGAGCCGCGGGAGAUACUACUAGGCUAGGAGGCGGGAGAGGCCGACGGUAUUCUCGGGGUAGGGGUGAAAUCCUAUAAUCCCGGGAGGACCACCAGUGGCGAAGGCUGUCGGCUAGAACGCGCUCGACGGUGAGGGACGAAAGCUGGGGGAGCGAACCGGAUUAGAUACCCGGGUAGUCCCAGCUGUAAACGAUGCGGGCUAGGUGUUGGGGUGGCUACGAGCCACUUCAGUGCCGCAGGGAAGCCAUUAAGCCCGCCGCCUGGGGAGUACGGCCGCAAGGCUGAAACUUAAAGGAAUUGGCGGGGGAGCACCACAAGGCGUGAAGCUUGCGGUUCAAUUGGAGUCAACGCCGGG